UACGUAGGGUGCGAGCGUUGUCCGGAAUUAUUGGGCGUAAAGAGCUUGUAGGCGGUUUGUCGCGUCUGCUGUGAAAGCUCGGGGCUUAACUCCGAGUUUGCAGUGGGUACGGGCAGACUAGAGUGUGGUAGGGGAGACUGGAAUUCCUGGUGUAGCGGUGGAAUGCGCAGAUAUCAGGAGGAACGCCGAUGGCGAAGGCAGGUCUCUGGGCCAUUACUGACGCUGAGAAGCGAAAGCAUGGGUAGCGAACAGG
rnacentral:misc_RNA from 1 species